GGAUCCAGACUUUGAUCCUGGCUCAGGAUGAACGCUAGCUACAGGCUUAACACAUGCAAGUCGAGGGGAAACGAUAUUGGAAGCUUGCUUCCGAUAGGCGUCGACCGGCGCACGGGUGAGUAACGCGUAUCCAACCUGCCCAUCACUUGGGGAUAACCUUGCGAAAGUAAGACUAAUACCCAAUGACGUCUCUAGAAGACAUCUGAAAGAGAUUAAAGAUUUAUCGGUGAUGGAUGGGGAUGCGUCUGAUUAGCUUGUUGGCGGGGUAACGGCCCACCAAGGCAACGAUCAGUAGGGGUUCUGAGAGGAAGGUCCCCCACAUUGGAACUGAGACACGGUCCAAACUCCUACGGGAGGCAGCAGUGAGGAAUAUUGGUCAAUGGACGAGAGUCUGAACCAGCCAAGUAGCGUGCAGGAUGACGGCCCUAUGGGUUGU
rnacentral:rRNA from 1 species